rnacentral:rRNA from 1 species
UACGUAGGGUGCGAGCGUUAAUCGGAAUUACUGGGCGUAAAGCGUGCGCAGGCGGCUGUGCAAGACAGAUGUGAAAUCCCCGGGCUCAACCUGGGAACUGCAUUUGUGACUGCACAGCUAGAGUACGGCAGAGGGGGAUGGAAUUCCGCGUGUAGCAGUGAAAUGCGUAGAUAUGCGGAGGAACACCGAUGGCGAAGGCAAUCCCCUGGGCCUGUACUGACGCUCAUGCACGAAAGCGUGGGGAGCAAACAGG